AGCCAUGAUAUCAAUCCAUGCCUUUGCUUCAAUCUUUGCUAUCAUCUUCUUUGCAGGAGCAGCAGAAGCAGCAUCCCCUUUGGUCACCUAUGUGUUUGGAGACUCCUUAACUGAGGUUGGAAACAACAACUUUCUUAACUCCCUUGCACGCUCCGACUAUCCGUGGUACGGACUUGAUUAUAACGGCGGCCAACCAACUGGCCGAUUCACUAAUGGUCGAACCAUCGGAGAUAUAAUAUCUUCCAAGCUAGGAAUUCCGUCGCCGCCUCCGUACCUAUCACUUUCUCAAGACGACGAUAGACUCCUCCAAGGUGUCAAUUACGCUUCUGGUGGAGCGGGAAUUCUCAACGACACUGGACUCUACUUUAUCCAAAGAUUAUCGUUCGAUGAUCAAAUUCAGAACUUCAACCGGACAAAAAUGGCGAUCAGAAGGAAGAUCGGGGAUGAAAAAGCUAAUAUACAUUGCAAUGAAGCCUUGUAUUUUAUUGGAAUUGGUAGCAAUGACUAUGUGAACAAUUUCUUGCAGCCAUUUUUGGCCGAUGGGCAACAAUACACGCACGAUGAAUUUUUGAGCCUCUUACUCUCUACAUUGGAACAACAAUUUACGAGGCUUUACCAAUUGGGUGCAAGAAAGAUGGUGGUGCAUGGGCUAGGGCCAUUGGGGUGCAUCCCUUCACAAAGAGUGAAGUCAAGAAAAGGGCAAUGCCUAAAAAGAGUGAACCAAUGGGUUCAACACUUCAAUUCUAAGCUCCAAAUCCUCGCAAUAACUCUCAACAAAACCCUCCCAAACGCUCAUUUUCUAUUUGCAGAUACUUACCCGGUCGUUCUUGACCUCAUCACCAAUCCUUCGACUUACGGUUUCAAAGUAUCAAAUACAUCUUGUUGCAAUGUGGACACAAGUAUUGGAGGGCUUUGUUUGCCAAACUCAAAAGUAUGCAAGAACAGAAAUGAGUUUCAAAGUAUCAAAUACAUCUUGUUGCAAUGUGGACACAAGUAUUGGAGGGCUUUGUUUGCCAAACUCAAAAGUAUGCAAGAACAGAAAUGAGUUUCAAAGUAUCAAAUACAUCUUGUUGCAAUGUGGACACAAGUAUUGGAGGGCUUUGUUUGCCAAACUCAAAAGUAUGCAAGAACAGAAAUGAGUUUCAAAGUAUCAAAUACAUCUUGUUGCAAUGUGGACACAAGUAUUGGAGGGCUUUGUUUGCCAAACUCAAAAGUAUGCAAGAACAGAAAUGAGUUUCAAAGUAUCAAAUACAUCUUGUUGCAAUGUGGACACAAGUAUUGGAGGGCUUUGUUUGCCAAACUCAAAAGUAUGCAAGAACAGAAAUGAGUUUCAAAGUAUCAAAUACAUCUUGUUGCAAUGUGGACACAAGUAUUGGAGGGCUUUGUUUGCCAAACUCAAAAGUAUGCAAGAACAGAAAUGAGUUUCAAAGUAUCAAAUACAUCUUGUUGCAAUGUGGACACAAGUAUUGGAGGGCUUUGUUUGCCAAACUCAAAAGUAUGCAAGAACAGAAAUGAGUUUCAAAGUAUCAAAUACAUCUUGUUGCAAUGUGGACACAAGUAUUGGAGGGCUUUGUUUGCCAAACUCAAAAGUAUGCAAGAACAGAAAUGAGUUUCAAAGUAUCAAAUACAUCUUGUUGCAAUGUGGACACAAGUAUUGGAGGGCUUUGUUUGCCAAACUCAAAAGUAUGCAAGAACAGAAAUGAGUUUCAAAGUAUCAAAUACAUCUUGUUGCAAUGUGGACACAAGUAUUGGAGGGCUUUGUUUGCCAAACUCAAAAGUAUGCAAGAACAGAAAUGAGUUUCAAAGUAUCAAAUACAUCUUGUUGCAAUGUGGACACAAGUAUUGGAGGGCUUUGUUUGCCAAACUCAAAAGUAUGCAAGAACAGAAAUGAGUUUCAAAGUAUCAAAUACAUCUUGUUGCAAUGUGGACACAAGUAUUGGAGGGCUUUGUUUGCCAAACUCAAAAGUAUGCAAGAACAGAAAUGAGUAUGUGUUUUGGGAUGCCUUCCAUCCCUCUGAUGCUGCUAAUGCUGUCUUGGCUCAUAAACUCUUUUCAUCUUUAUUCCCUUCUUCUUCUUCUUCUUCUUCUUCUUCUCCGACGCCCUCUCCUUUGCCCUCCCGUUAAAAAUUUAUAUGAACGUUCACCGAUAUCUCGAUAUUUUGAUAUACUCAAAACUAAGUUACGAUACUCAUAUGUAUAUUUUUAUUGUUCUAUGGUAAGCAUA